UAACACUCUAAUUGAUUCUUUAUUGCACAUAUUGCUGUUUAACAAUUAAACUUGGUGUACAGCAUUUCAUCAAGUUUCCCUGUUAGAUUACAACUGAAUACCCAGGGAUAAUAUUCAGUAAAAUUAACUAAUAAAUUACAUUGUUUUAAUUCACACAUUAAACUAUUAUUAUAUGUGUUACAAAUAGUCUUUUCUACAUCACUUAAAGUAUUUUCAGAUAUAUUCAUAUAAAAAAUAUCUACACACUAAUUGUUUUACGGAAUUUGAUCAUUCAUCCGGAAUGACUUUUUAGGUUCUUUUAUUAUUUAAUCAAAAAUAAAUAUUGCGGUCAAGUGACCUCACACGCCUUGUCUUAUCCUCGUGUUUGGACAAUAUUUUUUGAAGUGUUUCGUGAAUUUGGAUUAUUAAUUUCGAUGUGGUUUUAAGAGUUUGGAAUAAUAUUGCGUAAAGGUUGCUGUAGGCCAUUAGCAUUGACCGUACAGAUGUGCAAAUAGUUUUUCAUGGUGGUUUAUAGUUGGAUAUUUUAAAUUUCAUACAAUAGCAUGGAUAAAGCUUUCAUGAAGAACAGACCAUUUAUAAUCUUCAUUAUUGGAAUUGAUUAGACUAUCUGUCAGUCUGAAUAUUUUAAGUGGACAACCUUCAUCAGCUGUGUCACAUAACAACAAACAUUUUGAGACAUAUCUCGAAUAAUAUAUACAGUUAAAAAUAAAUGAAAUCAGUGCUAUACAUACUGUUUUGUGAAAAAUAUGAUUGACAAAA